GAGUUUGAUCCUGGCUCAGAUUGAACGCUGGCGGAAUGCUUUACACAUGCAAGUCGAACGGCAGCACAGGAGCUUGCUCCUGGUGGCGAGUGGCGAACGGGUGAGUAAUGCGUCGGAACGUAUCCAUUAAUGGGGGAUAACGCAGCGAAAGCUGUGCUAAUACCGCAUACGCCCCGAGGGGGAAAGCAGGGGAUCUUCGGACCUUGCGUUAUUGGAGCGGCCGACGUCUGAUUAGCUAGUUGGUGAGGUAAAGGCUCACCAAGGCGACGAUCAGUAGCUGGUCUGAGAGGAUGAUCAGCCACACUGGAACUGAGACACGGUCCAGACUCCUACGGGAGGCAGCAGUGGGGAAUUUUGGACAAUGGGCGCAAGCCUGAUCCAGCCAUUCCGCGUGAGUGAAGAAGGCCUUCGGGUUGUAAAGCUCUUUCGGCAGGGAAGAAACAGUUGAGGCUAAUAUCCUUGACCAAUGACGGUACCUGCAUAAGAAGCACCGGCUAACUACGUGCCAGCAGCCGCGGUAAUACGUAGGGUGCGAGCGUUAAUCGGAAUUACUGGGCGUAAAGCGUGCGCAGGCGGUUUUUCAAGUCUGAUGUGAAAGCCCCGGGCUUAACCUGGGAACUGCGUUGGAAACUGAAAGACUAGAGUGCGGCAGAGGGGGGUAGAAUUCCACGUGUAGCAGUGAAAUGCGUAGAUAUGUGGAGGAAUACCGAUGGCGAAGGCAGCCCCCUGGGUCGACACUGACGCUCAUGCACGAAAGCGUGGGUAGCAAACAGGAUUAGAUACCCUGGUAGUCG
rnacentral:rRNA from 1 species